rnacentral:misc_RNA from 1 species
UUGGCUGUUUUGCACUCCCACCCCUCAAAAUUUCCUAGCCGCCACUCUCUUCCUCCUUCUCCCUCAGGCUGCAGCAGCCUGUUUUCUUCUCCUACGACAGCAGCACGCCAGCACGCAGGGGCCUCCCAUGGCCGCCAAGCUCCCUCAACGCCGGCGUCCUCCUCUCCUCCCCACGGCUGCAGCAGGGCGUUCUUCCCCAGCCUUCCCUGGGCGCGCACCCCUCCUCCCCCUUCUUCCUCCAGCCAGCAGGCGCCCAGAAAUUCCAGCAGGACCUCCAUGGUCGAGCUCGCCCAGGCCCCGACGCCUCUGCUCGGUCGCAGCUCUGUAGGCUCUCACCACCGCGCCCCCUCCUUCCUCGACGCGCUGAAGCUCCUCAGCCAUGGCGCCCAAGCCCUUCUUCUUCCUCUGCCCAACACCCCUCUUCUCCACUGCGUUAAGGGCAGGGAGCCUUUUUCUCCCCUACGCACAGGGAGCAGUUCCCUUGGCCGACGCCCUCUGUGGCAGCCAUGGCACCUCCCUCCCUCUCUGCUCGUGCGCAGGAAACCCCUCAAGCGCAGGGAAGAACAGCAGCCCACCCUUCAAAACACCAAGCAGCGGCUCCCAUCUCCCAGCAACCUCCAUGGACGCCCCCUGUUUUCUUCUUCGCGCAGCAGCAGGGAGCCCCUGCUCGGCCAGCUGCCAUGGCGUCCAAGUUUUCUGCGUAGCAGUGCCGGUUCAAAAAAAAAUAGCAGCCAUGAGAUCCCGUCCGUAUCGCUUGCAUUGACCCGAUUUGCGCAGCGCCUGCGCGCCGUCGUCGAAACCCGUGCUAGCCGUCAAAGCCAGUCGUCGCGCACGCGUGUUCGAUACAAGACCGGUCGGGUGCACCACGUGCUUGCACAACUCAAAUCCGAUCUCGUUCAGGUUGAUUGA